AUCCGUUUGUGGUUCAUAAGCGUGAUGAUUGGGUUUUCACGCUCUUGUGUGAGAUGUGCCUCCCUUGUUGUGACAGUAAAUUACCCAUCUGAUG
ensembl:snoRNA